UCAAACUUGGUCAUUUAGAGGAAGUAAAAGUCGUAACAAGGUUUCCGUAGGUGAACCUGCGGAAGGAUCAUUAGAGGGGGCCGUCGGGGGCCGUAAACCUGCCGGGCGCAAGCCCGUGAAACCAAACCAACCGUGAACCACUGCCUUAGGCCCGCGAGGGUACGGGCGCUUUACACUGUAGUCAAAAGGCACUGAAAGCAAACAAAAGAGUACAACUCUCAACGAUGGAUCUCUAGGCUCUCGCAUCGAUGAAGAACGCAGC
rnacentral:misc_RNA from 1 species